rnacentral:tmRNA from 1 species
GGGGGCGACCGGUUUCGACGUGCCAGUUGAAGCUUCGGUUGCGCGCCGAGGACCCCGGUUGGCCUCGUAAAACAUCCGGGAAAAAACACAAAAGCCAACGACGAAUUGGCCUUCGCGGCUUAGUUCCGCGACGUUCGACCGCUUGCGCCUGCGGGGCGGAUCGGGCGUCAUGAGCAGGCUGGCGACCCGUGCCGGGCAACCGGGCGCGGGAGCGAGAAUCAACAGGUUGAUUGCGGUGCCGCUGGCCUGUCCGUGGGCAGGCGGCAUGGCGAAACGUAAUUGCGGAAUACGCGCGUAGAUGCCGUUGUGACGCUUGUGCGGACGCGGGUUCAACUCCCGCCGCCUCCACCA